rnacentral:rRNA from 1 species
UACCUGGUUGAUCCUGCCAGUAGUCAUAUGCUUGUUUCAAGGACUAAGCCAUACAAGUCUCAGAGUAAAUGGAUCACAGUAGGUCUGCAAACAGCUCAUUAAAUCAGCUUCAAUCUACGCCGAGAAACUGCCUUUUGGCAAACUAUUGGAUAACUUUGGUAACCCCAAAGCUAAUACAUGUCAGCAAAACCCGCAUAGGUUCCACCUCGGGGUCUUGGUUCCGGAGCUGUGUUGGGUGUAAUUGACUGAAAUAAAAAUCAACGCUAGCAAUAGCAGCGGUGAUUAGAUGAUUCAAGUCAAUCGAGUAGUAGCGCAUACUUCGGUGGCGCUUGUCGGCAUGAGAAUCUGCCCUAUCAGCUUUUGGCGGUAGUGUAGUGGACUACCGUGGCCGUAACGGGUAACGGGGAAUUAGGGUUCGAUUCCGGAGAGGGAGCCUGAGAAACGGCUACCACAACUAAGGUUGGCAGCAGGCGCGCAAAUUGCCCAAUAGCAACACAUCGCUGAGGCAGCGAAGAGAAAUAGCAACUCCAUGUGGCCCUGCCGUGUGAAGAUUGCCAUGGACGAUAUCUAAACCUGUCGGUGAGUAUCAAUUGGUGGACAAGUCUGGUGCCAGCACCCGCGGUAAUUCCAGCACCAAUAGC